rnacentral:rRNA from 1 species
UCUGCAACUCGACUACAUGAAGCUGGAAUCGCUAGUAAUCGCGGAUCAGAAUGCCGCGGUGAAUACGUUCCCGGGUCUUGUACACACCGCCCGUCACACCAUGGGAGUCAGUAACGCCCGAAGCCGGUGACCUAACCGAAAGGGAGGAGCCGUCGAAGGUGGGACCGAUAACUGGGGUGAAGUCGUAACAAGGUAAC